CUCGCCUUGGAGAUAAGACCCGCCUGCGCAGUUGGACACCCGCUAUUUCCCCGCCCUGGCUCAAGGCUGUGGAAAUCCGGGAUUUAGAGUUUGACAAGGAAUGCUUUCGCAAAACGCACCUCUCCCCAGUCAGCCCUGGCAGUCCAAAGUGGUGCCAAACCGUAUCAAUUCUACAGUGGAGACAAGGCUGUAGGCAAGGGGGUGGUUUAGAGGUUCAAACCACCCCCGAAAGGUAGAAAUGGUGGGAUAGACACAACCUUAAGCACACUAUGAAGUAAGCCUCAUCUAAUGUUUGUUCUUCGCUACCAUCAAGUCGACUUUGAAUUAUGACGGCUCAAUGAAUGAGACUUCCAAGUCACCCAGUCAUCAUCAGCAGCCUUGCUCAAUUGCUGAAAAUGUAUGGCCGUGGCUUCCUUGUCUGAAUCUAUUCAUCUGGAAUAAAUUCUUCCUCCUUUU